rnacentral:rRNA from 1 species
UACGGAGGGUGCGAGCGUUGUCCGGAAUCACUGGGCGUAAAGGGCGCGUAGGCGGCCUGAUAAGUAGGGGGUGAAAUCUUGCGGCUUAACCGCAAGGCUGCCUUCUAAACUGUCGGGCUAGAGCACAGUAGAGGCAGGUGGAAUUCCCGGUGUAGCGGUGGAAUGCGUAGAGAUCGGGAAGAACAUCGGUGGCGAAAGCGCUCUACUGGGCCAUAACUGACACUCAGGGACGAAAGCUAGGGGAGCGAAUGGG